UGAACACGUAAAUGUAUUGGCUUUCGCAAAUCAUAGGUGUUGCUAUGUGGAUAUAACUGUAUGAGUUCACAAUAACAGAAACAAAGCUUGCUAAAGACACAAGAUUAGGCAACAAGUUGGAAAUGGCCAGAACUCUUGAGCAAAAUGGAGUCACGUAGCAAAAGAAUUUGUAAAGGUAAAAGAAGGGGGGGGGGGGGGCUUGAUAUGAGGAAAGCUAGUGCCUGGAAAACACAGAGUUAAAGUACUUUUAGCUUAACUUAGAUCGAAGAUAAAGAACAAUGUUUGUGUUGUAAGUCUGUGGUGAGAUAACAGGAUUUAGUGGCCCCACUAAACAGGUAUGAAUUAUUUCACACCAUCCUUCUACUUAUCAGUUAGUUUAGAGACAGCGCCUCCCAAACAUCUGCUUGGAUACUCCUUGUCUGCCCAUCCUGCAAUAAAUUUUACAGGAAGGUCGGACUGUUAUAAAUCUUUGCCAGCUAUCAGAAAAGUUACAGAUACGUCUGGUUUCAGCUAGUUUUGUGACUACGGGGGCAUCCAACUGUGCCAAAGGUGAAAAGUACACCAUGAGGAAGACUGCAUACUGCAUCUUGAAGACCCCUGCCCACAUGAGGAAGACUGCUUACUUCAUCCUCAGGACCCCUGCCCACAAUCACCGGAGAGCAGUGCACAGACGCCAAGAGGAGGAGACUUAUGAUAAUAAGUUCCUAGAGCUAGUUACAAUAUUCCCCAUCUAUACACAGGAAUUAUGAAUAUGUAUAUGACUAAUGCAAUAGUGAAAGUAUAGAAACCUGUAACAAAUGCUAAUCAGUGCACCCCUGGCUAUGGUCACGCACCCAGUGCUGUUGCUUUUGCUUUACUGAAUUUGUCCCUCAAUAAAACCCUGUUAUCUGGA